CCUACGGGUGGCAGCAGUGGGGAAUAUUGGGCAAUGGGCGCAAGCCUGACCCAGCAACGCCGCGUGAAGGAAGAAGGCUUUCGGGUUGUAAACUUCUUUUCUCAGGGACGCAGAAAGUGACGGUACCUGAGGAAUAAGCCACGGCUAACUACGUGCCAGCAGCCGCGGUAAUACGUCGGUGGCAAGCGUUCUCCGGAUUUAUUGGGUGUAAAGGGCGUGUAGGCGGGAGCGCAAGUCAGAGGUGAAAACUCAGGGCUCAACCCUGCGCCUGCCUUUGAAACUGUGUGUCUUGAGUGCUGGAGAGGCAAUCGGAAUUCCGGGUGUAGCGGUGAAAUGCGUAGAUAUACGGAGGAACACCAGUGGCGAAGGCGGAUUGCCGGA
rnacentral:rRNA from 1 species